GUAGUUAGCCGGGGCUUCCUCCUUGGCUACCGUCACUUUCUUCGUCACCAAGGACAGAGGUUUACAAUCCGAAGACCUUCUUCCCUCACGCGGCGUUGCUGGGUCAGGCUUGCGCCCAUUGCCCAAUAUUCCCCACUGCUGCCUCCCGUAGGAGUCUGGACCGUGUCUCAGUUCCAGUGUGGCCGAUCAGCCUCUCAGCUCGGCUACCCAUCGUUGGCUAGGUGGGCCGUUACCCCGCCUACUACCUAAUGGGACGCGAACCCCUCCUUCUGCGGAUUGCUCCUUUGACCCCUGAGCCAUGCGACUCUGUGGUCUUAUGCGGUAUUAGCACUUGUUUCCAGGUGUUAUCCCCCUCAAAAGGGCAGGUUGUUCACGCGUUACUCACCCGUUCGCCACUAGCUAUAAAUCCGAAAACCUAUAGCCCGUUCGACUUGCAUGUGUUAGGCACGCCGCCAGCGUUCGUCCUGAGCCAGAAUCGAACCCUGA
rnacentral:rRNA from 1 species